rnacentral:rRNA from 1 species
CUGAAGGUUUGGUCCUGGCCUCAGUAUUAAUUUUAACCAAAUUUACACAUGCAAGUUUCAGCAUUCCAGUGAGAACGCCCUAAUCAUGCCCUUAUUUGUUUAGGAGCUGGUAUCAGGCAUAUACAGUGUGUAUAACCCAUGACACCUCGCUUAACCACGCCCCCAAGGGAAUUCAGCAGUGAUAGACAUUGAACAAUAAGCGCAAGCUUGAAUCAGUUAAAGUUAAAAGAGUUGGUUAAUCUCGUGCCAGCCACCGCGGUUAUACGAGUAACUCACAUUAAUACUUCACGGCGUAAAGGGUGAUUAAAAGUUUCUAAAAAGUACUAAAGUUAUAACCUUAUAAAGCUGUCAUACGCACCUAUAAAAGGAAUAAUACACUAACGAAAGUGACUUUAACUAGAUAGAGCUUUUGACCUCACGACAGUUAAGACACAAACUAGGAUUAGAUACCCUACUAUGCCUAACCAUAAAUAGACCUUUACUACCACUUACUUUGUUUAAGUCCGCCUGAGUACUACAAGCGCUAGCUUAAAACCCAAAGGACUUGGCGGUGCCCCAGACCCCC